UACGUAGGGAGCAAGCGUUAUCCGGAUUUAUUGGGUGUAAAGGGUGCGUAGGCGGACUGUCAAGUCAGCGGUAAAAUACGGGCUUAACUUGUAGACUGCAGUUGAAACUGGUUUUCUUGAGUGAAGUAGAGGUUGGCGGAAUUCCGAGUGUAGCGGUGAAAUGCGUAGAUAUUCGGAGGAACACCGGUGGCGAAGGCGGCCAACUGGGCUUUAACUGACGCUGAGGCUCGAAAGUGUGGGGAGCAAACAGG
rnacentral:rRNA from 1 species